rnacentral:tRNA from 1 species
UGCGGGGUAGGGAAGCCUGGUAUCCCGCAAGGCCCAUAACCUUGAGAUCGCUGGUUCAAAUCCAGCCCCCGCAACCA